rnacentral:rRNA from 1 species
GCUUUGCUGGGCCCGUCCCUCGGGACCGCCGGCUUCGGCUGGCCAGCGCCUGGCAGAGAAACCAAACUCUUGUAUUAUUGUCGUCAGAGUACUAUAUUUAAUAGUUAAAACUUUCAACAACGGAUCUCUUGGUUCUGGCAUCGAUGAAGAACGCAGCGAAAUGCGAUAAGUAAUGUGAAUUGCAGAAUUCAGUGAAUCAUCGAAUCUUUGAACGCACAUUGCGCCCUCUGGUAUUCCGGGGGGCAUGCCUGUUCGAGCGUCAUUACAACCCUCAAGCUCUGCUUGGUAUUGGGUGCCACCUUACCGGUGCGCCCUAAAAUCAGUGGCGGCGCCAUCCGGCUUCAAGCGUANUAUUANUUCAUCGCUCUGGAGGACCGGUUGAGUGCUCGCCAGCAACCCCAAAUUUUAUCAAGGUUGACCUCGGAUCAGGUAGG